rnacentral:tRNA from 1 species
GAUUCUAUGGUGUAGUGGUUAGCACUUUGGAAUUUGAAUCCAGCGACCUGGGUUCGACUCUCAGUAGGACCU